rnacentral:rRNA from 1 species
UUCGACUAGGGGGUCAUCCCGACUUACCAACUCGAUGCAAACUACGAAUACCGAAGAAUGUUAUCACGGGAGACACACGGCGGGUGCUAACGUUCGUCGUGAAGAGGGAAACAACCCAGACCGCCAGCUAAGGUCCCAAAGUCAUAGUUAAGUGGGAAACGAAGUGGGAAGGCUCAGACAGCCAGGAUGUUGGCUUAGAAGCAGCCAUCAUUUAAAGAAAGCGUAAUAGCUCACUGGUCGAGUCGGCCUGCGCGGAAGAUGUAACGGGGCUAAACUAUGCACCGAAGCUGCGGCAGCGAUAUUUAGAUAUUGUUGGGUAGGGGAGCGUUCUGUAAGCCUGUGAAGGUGUGCUGUGAGGCAUGCUGGAGGUAUCAGAAGUGCGAAUGCUGACAUAAGUAACGAUAAUGCGGGUGAAAAACCCGCACGCCGGAAGACCAAGGGUUCCUGUCCAACGUUAAUCGGGGCAGGGUGAGUCGACCCCUAAGGCGAGGCAGAAAUGCGUAGUCGAUGGGAAACGGGUUAAUAUUCCCGUACUGGUGAUAAUUGCGAUGGGGGGACGGAGAAGGCUAGGCUAUCCGGGCGACGGUUGUCCCGGUUUAAGGAUGUAGGCAGGUGAAUUAGGCAAAUCCGGUUCACUAUAUGCUGAGGUCCGAYGACGAGUCACUACGGUGAUGAAGUAGCUCAUGCCCCGCUUCCAGGAAAAGCCUCUAAGCUCUAGAUUAUCAUUAAUCGUACCCCAAACCGACACAGGUGGUCAGGUAGAGAAUACUCAGGCGCUUGAGAGAACUCGGGUGAAGGAACUAGGCAAAAUGGUGCCGUAACUUCGGGAGAAGGCACGCUGGCAUUAGGUGAAGUGAUUUACUCAUGGAGCUGAAGCCAGUCGCAGAUACCAGCUGGCUGCAACUGUUUAUUAAAAACACAGCACUGUGCAAACACGAAAGUGGACGUAUACGGUGUGACGCCUGCCCGGUGCUGGAAGGUUAAUUGAUGGGGUUAUCCGUAAGGAGAAGCUCUUGAUCGAAGCCCCAGUAAACGGCGGCCGUAACUAUAACGGUCCUAAGGUAGCGAAAUUCCUUGUCGGGUAAGUUCCGACCUGCACGAAUGGCGUAAUGAUGGCCAGGCUGUCUCCACCCGAGACUCAGUGAAAUUGAACUCGCUGUGAAGAUGCAGUGUACCCGCGGCAAGACGGAAAGACCCCGUGAACCUUUACUAUAGCUUGACACUGAACAUUGAGCCUUGAUGUGUAGGAUAGGUGGGAGGCUUYGAAGCGUGGACGCCAGUCUGCGUGGAGCCAACCUUGAAAUACCACCCUUUAAUGUUUGAUGUUCUAACGUUGCCCCAUUAUCUGGGGUGCGGACAGUGUCUGGUGGGUAGUUUGACUGGGGCGGUCUCCUCCCAAAGAGUAACGGAGGAGCACGAAGGUUGGCUAAGCAUGGUCGGACAUCAUGCGGUUAGUGCAAAGGCAUAAGCCAGCUUGACUGCGAGAGUGACGGCUCGAGCAGGUACGAAAGUAGGUCUUAGUGAUCCGGUGGUUCUGAAUGGAAGGGCCAUCGCUCAACGGAUAAAAGGUACUCCGGGGAUAACAGGCUGAUACCGCCCAAGAGUUCAUAUCGACGGCGGUGUUUGGCACCUCGAUGUCGGCUCAUCACAUCCUGGGGCUGAAGUAGGUCCCAAGGGUACGGCUGUUCGCCGUUUAAAGUGGUACGCGAGCUGGGUUUAGAACGUCGUGAGACAGUUCGGUCCCUAUCUGCCGUGGGCGUUGGAAGAUUGAAAGGGGCUGCUCCUAGUACGAGAGGACCGGAGUGGACGCACCACUGGUGUUCGGGUUGUCAUGCCAAUGGCAUUGCCCGGUAGCUAAGUGCGGAAGAGAUAACCGCUGAAAGCAUCUAAGCGGGAAACUUGCCUUGAGAUGAGUCUUCCCUGACYCUUUAAGRGUCCUAAAGGAACGUUUAAGACUAAGACGUUGAUAGGUUGGGUGUGUAAGCGUAGCGAUACGUUGAGCUAACCAAUACUAAUGAACCGUGAGGCUUAACCUG